UUCCUGGUAGUAUGUUGGUUAGUACGCGCGCCUGUCAUUUGAUACUUGUAUCCGAAAUAUUCAUUACUCACGUGAAAGCAAGGUUCGACUCCCAGCCAGGGAG